rnacentral:lncRNA from 1 species
UUUUUUUUUUUUUUUUCUAAUUUUUGGUUGGUGGCGGCGGUGCUGGGCCAGGGGAAGGAAGGGACACGGAGGCCGCCCUCGCCCCGCCACCUCCUACCAGCUUCCCCCCAGCCCCGGCUCCGGGAGAUGUGCCGGGCGGGGGGCCCGGGUUCGCCGAGCCGCAGGAGAGACACGCUGGGCCGACCCCAGAGCGGCGCUGGACAGAGCCAACACAGAUCUAUAGAUUUCUUUGAACUCGGAAUCUCAUAGCACCAAUAUUUUUGCACAGAACUCUUACUUACAUGUCUCAUCGAAACUCCAGAACAAACAUCAAAAGCUUGUCAGCUCAUUUGCAGCUUACAUUUUUGGUUUCUUCCACAAAAAUGAUAAGCCAUCACCAAACUCAGAAAAUGAACAAAAUUCUGUUACCCUGGAAGUCCUGCUUGUGAAAGUUUGCCACAAAAAAAGAAAGGAUGUAUGUUGUCCAAUAAGGCAAGUUCCCACAGAGUGACUCGUCCAAGAAGAAGAGAGUUUAAUGGAAUGAUUAAUGGAGAAACCAUGAAAAUAUUGAUGUCAGUGAAGAGCUUCCAGCCAGAAGAAAAUGAAAUCGUGAGGAUGGGGAAAAGACAUUUGUUGCACAAAUGACAGUAUUUGAUAAAAACAGGUAAUGUUGAUGAACAAGCGAGGCUCCCACAAUGUUCUGGAAAUGUUUUCAUUCUGAAGCAGAAUAUAAUUAUUUAUAUUGAUUA